rnacentral:rRNA from 1 species
GACGAACGCUGGCGGCGUGCUUAACACAUGCAAGUCGAACGGUGAUGCAGAGCUUGCUCUGCGGAUCAGUGGCGAACGGGUGAGUAACACGUGAGUAACCUGCCCUUGACUCUGGGAUAAGCGUUGGAAACGACGUCUAAUACCGGAUACGACCCGUGGAGGCAUCUCCUGCGGGUGGAAAGAAUUUUGGUUGAGGAUGGACUCGCGGCCUAUCAGCUUGUUGGUGAGGUAAUGGCUCACCAAGGCGACGACGGGUAGCCGGCCUGAGAGGGUGACCGGCCACACUGGGACUGAGACACGGCCCAGACUCCUACGGGAGGCAGCAGUGGGGAAUAUUGCACAAUGGGCGAAAGCCUGAUGCAGCAACGCCGCGUGAGGGAUGACGGCCUUCGGGUUGUAAACCUCUUUUGGCAGGGAAGAAGCGAAAGUGACGGUACCUGCAGAAAAAGCACCGGCUAACUACGUGCCAGCAGCCGCGGUAAUACGUAGGGUGCAAGCGUUGUCCGGAAUUAUUGGGCGUAAAGAGCUCGUAAGCGGUUUGUCGCGUCUGCUGUGAAAACGCGAGGCUCAACCUCGCGCCUGCAGUGGGUACGGGCAGACUAGAGUGCGGUAGGGGAGAUUGGAAUUCCUGGUGUAGCGGUGGAAUGCGCAGAUAUCAGGAGGAACACCGAUGGCGAAGGCAGAUCUCUGGGCCGUUACUGACGCUGAGGAGCGAAAGCGUGGGGAGCGAACAGGAUUAGAUACCCUGGUAGUCCACGCCGUAAACGUUGGGAACUAGAUGUGGGGUCCAUUCCACGGAUUCCGUGUCGCAGCUAACGCAUUAAGUUCCCCGCCUGGGGAGUACGGCCGCAAGGCUAAAACUCAAAGGAAUUGACGGGGGCCCGCACAAGCGGCGGAGCAUGCGGAUUAAUUCGAUGCAACGCGAAGAACCUUACCAAGGCUUGACAUGCACCUGAAAAGGCUGGAAACAGUCUCCUCGCAAGACAGGUGCACAGGUGGUGCAUGGUUGUCGUCAGCUCGUGUCGUGAGAUGUUGGGUUAAGUCCCGCAACGAGCGCAACCCUCGUUCUAUGUUGCCAGCGCGUAAUGGCGGGAACUCAUAGGAGACUGCCGGGGUCAACUCGGAGGAAGGUGGGGAUGACGUCAAAUCAUCAUGCCCCUUAUGUCUUGGGCUUCACGCAUGCUACAAUGGCCGGUACAAAGGGCUGCAAUACCGUAAGGUGGAGCGAAUCCCAAAAAGCCGGUCUCAGUUCGGAUUGAGGUCUGCAACUCGACCUCAUGAAGUCGGAGUCGCUAGUAAUCGCAGAUCAGCAACGCUGCGGUGAAUACGUUCCCGGGCCU